CAUUCUCUGUGCCUUGACAGGGUUAACGAUAGUCGCGAAUUCAAGCAAAAAGCUUAGGCUUUGCCUUGGCCAGAGACAGCAAUCCGCAGAACUAUGCCGCCUACUUACUUCACAGGCGCCGUCGCAACAACGUGCACUGUCCUGUGAUGGUAGGCAGCCGGUGACCUAAGAGCUUAAUGAACACGCUCUUUAUGAUGACGCCGGUGGUCUUGCUGUUGCUAUCGUCACUUUCGCUUGCACAGGCAAGUGAAACAGACGUCCCACCGCCCAACUGCACUACAACAUUUAAAAUACCCGCACGCCGAUGUAAGCUGAUCUGUCUCACAAGAUUCGCCGCUCGCUUUAUACCCCUCUUCAGAAUUAUCAACAAGCCUGACGGUACGAAAUGCAAGAGAUUAUUGACCGGAAUGAAAGGAUAUUGUAAAGAAGGAAGGUGCAUACUUGGUGGCGUGCUGGGUUUCUUUAUUAAUAAGACUCCGUUGAAGCAUAUUGGAUAAGCGAUUCCUGACACAACUAUGGGCAUUUCUCCGACGAAGAAAGCACUUUAGUUUACGUCUGAUCUGGAAAUACUGUAAUAAAGGCGGCUGGCCGGUCUCAACUUAA
rnacentral:lncRNA from 1 species